rnacentral:rRNA from 1 species
GCAAGUCGAGCGGACAGAUGGGAGCUUGCUCCCUGAUGUUAGCGGCGGACGGGUGAGUAACACGUGGGUAACCUGCCUGUAAGACUGGGAUAACUCCGGGAAACCGGGGCUAAUACCGGAUGCUUGUUUGAACCGCAUGGUUCAAACAUAAAAGGUGGCUUCGGCUACCACUUACAGAUGGACCCGCGGCGCAUUAGCUAGUUGGUGAGGUAAUGGCUCACCAAGGCAACGAUGCGUAGCCGACCUGAGAGGGUGAUCGGCCACACUGGGACUGAGACACGGCCCAGACUCCUACGGGAGGCAGCAGUAGGGAAUCUUCCGCAAUGGACGAAAGUCUGACGGAGCAACGCCGCGUGAGUGAUGAAGGUUUUCGGAUCGUAAAGCUCUGUUGUUAGGGAAGAACAAGUGCCGUUCAAAUAGGGCGGCACCUUGACGGUACCUAACCAGAAAGCCACGGCUAACUACGUGCCAGCAGCCGCGGUAAUACGUAGGUGGCAAGCGUUGUCCGGAAUUAUUGGGCGUAAAGGGCUCGCAGGCGGUUUCUUAAGUCUGAUGUGAAAGCCCCCGGCUCAACCGGGGAGGGUCAUUGGAAACUGGGGAACUUGAGUGCAGAAGAGGAGAGUGGAAUUCCACGUGUAGCGGUGAAAUGCGUAGAGAUGUGGA